GCACAGCCGAAGUCCCUAGACCUUGUGUUUUGAAAAUGCUGUGAGUCGUAAGAAGACAACAGGGCCAUGUUCAGCAAGGACGUGAUGGCCAAAUAUUUGCCUGUGGAUGAAGGCAUCUGGAGAGUCCAAACCACAAGGUGUUUUGCUUGGAAAAUAGAGCUGAACUCAGGAAGCACCUGUGGAGUGGGGUUGAAAGCCUUGUCAAAUGGCUACGCACUUUGUGCUCCUGGAAAAUAUGCGAUGGGGAUUUUGAGCUAG
rnacentral:lncRNA from 1 species